GGGAAAAGUUGUUUUUUGUUAUCAUUUAUUUUCUCAUUUCCUUAAGUUACUAUCCUUUCCCCUUAUCUUCUCCACCAACCCUCCAAUUUCGUUUUUCUUCAACAAUUACAGAAACCAAAACCUCCAUUCUCUCACAUAUUCAUCCACCAAAUCGAUCAUCAAGAUUUUCCUUGGUGGAUCCCCAAACAAACUUCACACGAUUGAGGUUGUUUAUAUCGUGUGCAAGUUGAAGAACUUGAGACAUUUGAGGGCCUACGGUUUGAACUUUUGAAGUCGUGUGGGACUGUUGAAUUGUUGUAUGCUAAAAGGGCUGAGGAAAUGUCCGAGAAGAUGCUUGAGGUUGGCCAUUGGAGUUGAAGUUUUGGGAGCUUUAAGGAAGAUCACAUUUGCAUAUAGGCACCUAUAUUUUGUAGUAUUUUAGGACGUGUAUACAAUUUAUGGUUUGCUUGUGUAUUUGUAUUUAUGUACGUAUUUCUGAGAGUUGUAACUUAAAGAUUGUUGCUUGUUUUGUAAAUUUUGGGGUAUGUACAUUUCUAAAUUUUAUGAAGUACUAAAUUACCCUUUGGAGUUAGAACAUUUGA